AGUGAACGCUGGCGGUAGGCUUAACACAUGCAAGUCGAACGGCAGCACAGUAAGAGCGUGCUCUUAUGGGGGGCGAGUGGCGGACGGGUGAGGAAUAUAUCCUAAUCUACUUUUUCGUGGGGGAUAACGUAGGGAAACUUACGCUAAUACCGCAUACGACCUACGGGGGAAAGGAGUGGAUCUUUUGGGCUGGCGCGGUUGAAUUAGCCGAUGUUGGAUUAGCUAGUUGGGGGGGUAAAGGCCCACCAAGGGGACGGUCCGUAGCUGGUCUGGGAGGAGGAUCCGGCCCGCUAGAGCGGGGACACGGACUAGACUCCUAAGAGAGGCAGCAGUCGGGAAUGUUGGACCAUGGGGGCAAAUCUGAUCCAGCCAUACAGCGUGGUUGAGGAAGGCCUCGGGGUUGUGAAGCCCUUUUGUGGGGUAAAAAACGCUGCAGGUUGAUACCGCGCUGUUGUGACGGUACCCGAAGAAUAAGCACCGGCUAACUACGUG
rnacentral:rRNA from 1 species